UACAGAGGUCCCAAGCGUUGUUCGGAUUCACUGGGCGUAAAGGGUGCGUAGGCGGUCGGGUAAGUCUGAUGUGAAAUCUCACAGCUUAACUGUGAAACUGCAUUGGAUACUAUUCGGCUUGAGAGUUGGAGGGGGGACUGGAAUUCUUGGUGUAGCAGUGAAAUGCGUAGAUAUCAAGAGGAACACCAGUGGCGAAGGCGACGUGCUGGACCUCUUCUGACGCUGAGGCGCGAAAGCCAGGGGAGCAAACGGG
rnacentral:rRNA from 1 species